AUGUCCUUCCUCUUGCCUUCUUUUUCUUCAUAGCUCUUAUCAGGACGUGAUAGCCUAUUACAUACAACCUGUAUGCAUCUGCUUGUUGUUCACUUCCCCCACUAGAAGGUAAGCCUCGGGAGGGUGGGGCCCUCCUUUCUGACUCACCGCUGUUUCCCUUUAGUGCUGCGUGGCUCAUGGAGGGAACUCAGUUAAUAAUGAGAGAAAGAAUAGAUAAUGAAUGGACCACUUGGGCAAGCAGCCUGGCCUGAAUUUUCCUGAGGGCCCCAGCGCCUGCCUCAUUUCACCUCAUGUGCCUGACUCACCUUAGAGAAGUCACCUUGGCGACUAAGAGGGCAUUAGUGGGACCUGAUGGAGGCCGGGCGAGUGAUGAUGUUAGCGGCACGACAAGGAGGACUCUGGAGGGAAACGCCUUGGAGGAGUCUCUAUGCUGCCCUCUGGUGGUAUGUCGUGGAACAUCACAGACGAAGAACUGAGGCUGUCAACCUUGCGUGGGAAUUUAGAGAUUAUUAAGGAAAUCCCCUAAAUUCACAUCCCAGGGCCACGCAGAGAUCAGAUGGCAGAGUAGGAACAACGAAUUGGGUCACAAUCCGAUGCUUUCACUACUACACCAUCCUGUCUGUCCCCAUCACAGUUGAGAUUAUGCUGCAAAAGAGAAGGGUAUCAGCUGGAAAAACCUUCGGAGAGAGGUUUGGUUUAAUUCGACAAGUUAUUUGAGCCAGUGCUAGACACCUGGUGGGCAGUUAGUUAAAGAUUAGAGGGAGAAAACGUACAGUAAGAGAGCUUAAGUUUAUACCAAAACAAGUCUUUGGUCAGAUGAGUUUGAAACAUGAAAUUGGCAGAGGAGUUAGCACGGGUGUGCCCCUCCCUAAUUUAACUUUUAUUACAUUUUAUUGUCAUGAUUUAUUAAUACAUAUUUGUUUCCUCUCUAGACACAGAGCUCCUCGAGGGCAGGGAGGACUGAAACUUCUCCCUGAGAUUGUCACCAUCACCUAGCACCCCACACAGUAGAUGCUCAAUAAAUGACCAUUAUAUGGGUAAAUAGAUAAACAAAUGAGUCGUUUGGAGUUUCCCUGCCUAGAGAUCUUCAAAGGAGAGCAGAUAACCAACUCUUCUGUCUAGUCCAAAGACAUUAUUCGUCUGCCCAAAGGCUGAGGGCUGUGCCCAACGCUUUCUCAAGGUUGGAUGUUCCAGAAGCAGAUCCUGAGACAAAAAUUUAAGGAUCCCAGAAUGGGAGAAAUGUGGGUCUGAAUGUCCUUGUAACUCUGAGAGUUGCAUUUCCAACCCUCCACUGGCUGAGUUCCACAUCCCCAUGCAUAUGGGC